CAAGCCGUGGGGCAGCGCGGGUAGCAAUACCUGGCGGCGACCGGCAAACGGGUGCGAAACACGUACGCAACCUUCCUUCAAGUGGGGGAUAGCCCAGGGAAACUUGGAUUAAUACCCCGUAAUACUAUGAGGUGGCAUCACCUUAUACUUAUAGCUCCGGCGCUUGAAGAUGGGCGUGCGCCUGAUUAGGUAGUUGGCGGGGUAAUGGCCCACCAAGCCUACGAUCAGUAACUGGUGUGAGAGCACGACCAGUCACACGGGCACUGAGACACGGGCCCGACUCCUACGGGAGGCAGCAGUAAGGAAUAUUGGGCAAUGGACGCAAGUCUGACCCAGCCAUGCCGCGUGGAGGAUGAAGGUCCUCUGGAUUGUAAACUUCUUUUAUCUGGGAAGAAACCCAUAAUUUCUAUUGUGGUUGACGGUACCAGAUGAAUAAGCACCGGCUAACUCCGUGCCAGCAGCCGCGGUAAUACGGAGGGUGCAAGCGUUAUCCGGAUUCACUGGGUUUAAAGGGUGCGUAGGUGGGUAUGUAAGUCAGUGGUGAAAUCCCCGAGCUUAACUUGGGAACUGCCGUUGAUACUAUAUAUCUUGAAUAUCGCGUAGGUAAGCGGAAUAUGUCAUGUAGCGGUGAAAUGCUUAGAUAUGACAUAGAACACCAAUUGCGAAGGCAGCUUACUUCACGAUUAUUGACACUGAGGCACGAAAGCGUGGGGAGCAAACAGGAUUAGAUACCCUGGUAGUCCACGCCCUAAACGAUGGAUACUCGACAUCAGCGAUACACUGUUGGUGUCUGAGCGAAAGCAUUAAGUAUCCCACCUGGGAAGUACGACCGCAAGGUUGAAACUCAAAGGAAUUGGCGGGGGUCCGCACAAGCGGUGGA
rnacentral:rRNA from 1 species